AGAACGAACGCUGGCGGCAUGCCUAAUACAUGCAAGUCGAACGAGAUCUUCGGGUCUAGUGGCGCACGGGUGCGUAACGCGUGGGAAUCUACCCUUGGGUUCGGAAUAACAGUUGGAAACGACUGCUAAUACCGGAUGAUGACGAAAGUCCAAAGAUUUAUCGCCCAGGGAUGAGCCCGCGUAGGAUUAGCCAGUUGGUGAGGUAAAGGCUCACCAAGGCUACGAUCCUUAGCUGGUCUGAGAGGAUGAUCAGCCACACUGGGACUGAGACACGGCCCAGACUCCUACGGGAGGCAGCAGUAGGGAAUAUUGGACAAUGGGGGCAACCCUGAUCCAGCAAUGCCGCGUGAGUGAUGAAGGCCUUAGGGUUGUAAAGCUCUUUACCCGAGAUGAUAAUGACAGUAUCGGGAGAAUAAGCUCCGGCUAACUCCGCGCCAGCAGCCGC
rnacentral:rRNA from 1 species